AAUGAACGUUGGCGGCAUGGAUUAGGCAUGCAAGUCGAGCGAGAAGGAGUGCAAAGUUUACUUUGGACUCCGGAAAGCGGCGAAAGGGAGAGUAACGCGUAGUUAUCUACCCUCAGGACCGGAAUAGCCACGGGAAACUGUGGGUAAUGCCGGAUAAUAUCUUUGGAUCAAAGGUGUGAUUCCGCCUGGGGAGGAGACUGCGUUGUACUAGCUAGUUGGUGGGGUAAUGGCCUACCAAGGCGACGAUGCAUAGCGGGCGUGAGAGCGUGGCCCGUCUCACUGGGACUGAAACACUGCCCAGACACCUACGGGUGGCAG
rnacentral:rRNA from 1 species